GUUGUGAGAUCUCAAACCUAUACCUCUAGCAUAUGUGGAAUAAACAAAUACACAGAUCUAUUUGCACAGUAAAACUUAUUUAAAGAAGGUAAAGUCCAAUGUUCAAAUGGGUAACAGAAGAAACUAAACAAAUGACAAUGAUAAACACCAAUUAUAAUAUGACGACCUAUUAUCGUCAACCAAGUAUAUUCAAAGUAUAUCUUCAUAAAGCACAAGCGCAUAAAUACAUGUGUCACUUAUUUAUCAUGUUUUAAAAUACUACAUGUAGCAGAUAAUCUAAAUUUUCAACAUCAAAACCCAGUUUACAUAGGC
rnacentral:lncRNA from 1 species